UGUGAGAUAUGAGGGCGCAAAAAUUAGAUAGGGUGGGUGGCAUAAAAAUUGGAGAGUCCAAGGGAGUUUGGACUCUCAUCUCUUCACCUAAACCCUAUCCUCUCUUCCUAUUUAAACAUGAGACUUAUGAGGCAUUAGAUGGCUGAUGUGAUCAGGUUUUGAGAUGCUAAAAAUCAAAGGAUAUGUGCAUGGAAAAAUCCUAGGGAGAGGGCGCGGC
rnacentral:lncRNA from 1 species